AUUGAACGCUGGCGGCGUGCUUAAUACAUGCAAGUCGAACGAACACGCGAGCUUCGGCCUGGUCGCAAGUGGCGGACGGGCGAGUAAUUCAUCCGAACGUGCCCAGUCGAGGGGGCUAGCAUGACGAAGGCAGGCUUGAUCUCGUAUAGGACAUGAGGGUGAACGGGGGGGUUCUUUAGUCCUCGCCCUUUUUGAUCGCACGCUGGCAGAUUACCUAGUUGGUGGGGUAAAGGCCUACCAAGGCGACGAUCUGUAGCUGGUCUGAGUGGACGACCAGCCACACGGGGACUGAGACACGGCCCAGACUCCUACGGGAGGCAGCAGUAGGGAAUUUUGGACAAUGGGCGAAAGCCUGAUCCAGCAAUGCCGCGUGUGUGAUGAAGGCCUUCGGGUUGUAAAGCACUUUUGGCAGGAACGAAAAGGACUGUGCCAAAACCACGAUUCGAUGACGGUACCCGCAGAAUAAGCAACGGCUAACUACGUG
rnacentral:rRNA from 1 species